GCAAAAGUUGCUUUUUAAUAUCAACGUCAAAUAAACACAAGAUUUUAGGGGAGCUUAAAAUAUUUGCUCACAAAUCUGCAUAAAAGUGUAAAUACAAAAUGUACAUGUAUGUAUGUGAGCUAGCUAACUUUUUUUACUUUAUUAUUCCUGCUCUAAGUAGUUAGUAAGAUCCUCUGUACAGAAUUACAUUGUUUUUGUCAAUGGCCUCAUUAGUAUUAUAACGUUCAAAGUGUGUUGUAAAGUGCCUUGUCUCCCAUGAAGAAAUUGUCAUUAAGAUCCAUUAAUUGCUCAAACCACAGACUUUAUACUUUUUAUGCUGAUUAAUUUAAUAAGGUUG
rnacentral:lncRNA from 1 species